rnacentral:rRNA from 1 species
AACGAACGCUGGCGGCAUGCCUAACACAUGCAAGUCGAACGAGACCUUCGGGUCUAGUGGCGCACGGGUGCGUAACGCGUGGGAACCUGCCCUUAGGUUCGGAAUAACUCCCCGAAAGGGGUGCUAAUACCGGAUAAUGUCUUCGGACCAAAGAUUUAUCGCCUUUGGAUGGGCCCGCGUUGGAUUAGCUAGUUGGUAGGGUAAAAGCCUACCAAGGCGAGGAUCCAUAGCUGGUCUGAGAGGAUGAUCAGCCACACUGGGACUGAGACACGGCCCAGACUCGUACGGGAGGGAGCAGUGGGGAAUAUUGGACAAUGGGCGAAAGGCUGAUACAGCAAUGCCGGGUGAGUGAUGAAGGGGUUAGGGUUGUAAAGCUGUUUUAGCCGGGAUGAUAAUGACAGUACCGGGAGAAUAAGCUCCGGCUAACUACGUG